rnacentral:rRNA from 1 species
UACGUAGGGGGCAAGCGUUGUCCGGAUUUAUUGGGCGUAAAGAGCGUGUAGGCGGUCUGGUAGGUCCGUUGUGAAAACUCGAGGCUCAACCUCGAGACGCCGAUGGAAACCGUCAGACUAGAGUCCGGAAGAGGAGAGUGGAAUUCCUGGUGUAGCGGUGAAAUGCGCAGAUAUCAGGAAGAACACCCGUGGCGAAGGCGGCUCUCUGGGACGGUACUGACGCUGAGACGCGAAAGCGUGGGGAGCGAACAGG